CCUACGGGAGGCAGCAGUGAGGAAUAUUGGACAAUGGGCGCGAGCCUGAACCAGCCAAGUAGCGUGAAGGAUGAAUGCCCUACGGGUUGUAAACUUCUUUUAUAAAGGAAUAAAGUGAGGCACGUGUGCCUUUUUGUAUGUACUUUAUGAAUAAGGAUCGGCUAACUCAGUGCCAGCAGCCGCGGUAAUACGGAGGAUCCGAGCGUUAUCCGGAUUUAUUGGGUUUAAAGGGAGCGUAGAUGGGUUGUUAAGUCAGUUGUGAAAGCUUGCGGCUCAACCGUAAUAUUGCAAUUGAUACUGGCAGUCUUGAGUACAGUUGAGGUAAGCGGAAUUCGUGGUGUAGCGGUGAAAUGCUUAGAUAUAACGAAGAACUCCGAUUGCGAAGGCAGCUUACUAAACUGCCACUGACAUUGAUGCUCGAAAGUGUGGGUAUCAAACAGGAUUAGAUACCCGAGUAGUC
rnacentral:rRNA from 1 species